rnacentral:rRNA from 1 species
GACGAACGCUGGCGGCGUGCCUAAUACAUGCAAGUAGAACGCACAGUUUAUACCGUAGCUUGCUACACCAUAGACUGUGAGUUGCGAACGGGUGAGUAACGCGUAGGUAACCUGCCUGGUAGCGGGGGAUAACUAUUGGAAACGAUAGCUAAUACCGCAUAAUAUUGAUUAUUGCAUGAUAAUUGAUUGAAAGAUGCUAUUGCAUCACUACCAGAUGGACCUGCGUUGUAUUAGCUAGUAGGUGAGGUAACGGCUCACCUAGGCGACGAUACAUAGCCGGCCUGAGAGGGUGAUCGGCCACACUGGGACUGAGACACGGCCCAGACUCCUACGGGAGGCAGCAGUAGGGAAUCUUCGGCAAUGGACGAAAGUCUGACCGAGCAACGCCGCGUGAGUGAAGAAGGGUUUCGGAUCGUAAAGCUCUGUUGUAAGAGAAGAACGGGUGUGAGAGUGGAAAGUUCACACUGUGACGGUAUCUUACCAGAAAGGGACGGCUAACUACGUG